rnacentral:rRNA from 1 species
UACGUAGGGUGCAAGCGUUGUCCGGAAUUAUUGGGCGUAAAGAGCUCGUAGGCGGUUUGUUGCGUCGGCUGUGAAAUCCCGAGGCUCAACCUCGGGUCUGCAGUCGAUACGAGCAAACUAGAGUGUUGCAGGGGAGACUGGAAUUCCUGGUGUAGCGGUGAAAUGCGCAGAUAUCAGGAGGAACACCGGCGGCGAAGGCGGGUCUCUGGGCCGAUACUGACGCUGAGGAGCGAAAGCGUGGGGAGCGAACAGG